UCCCUUCCUCCCGACCUCUCGAGAAGCCCGACCUCUCCAGAAGCGGACAACGCGGGCAGCACUCCUCCAGGUGCCGCCACCAGGGGCGACCGCGACGGCGAUGGGCGCGACCGGCGCGCCACGGCCGCCCUCCUCCUCCUCUCUCCCUCCCUUUCCCUCAAGCGUUGGCGGCGGGGCACCAGGCGACGGCGUGGCCUGCAGGCGGGGCGACGAUACUGGUGAGGCCCGACGACCCCCUCCCUCUCCUCCAUCCUCCAUGCGGCCUCGUCGUCCUCCUCCUCCUCUCUCUCUCUUCUUCCCUCCCGAGACGACGACAGUGGCAGCGGCGGCGGACCUGUUGUGGCCGGCCCCUACUGGCCCCUCUCCCUUCCUCCCACCCCCCGCAUCAGCAGGCCUCAGUGGCACGGUGUGGCGCCAUCAGCGCGCCACUUCCUCCCUCCCUCUCUCCCAGAUCGGCAGCGCAUAGGGCCAGCCAUUCGCGUGGGUUGCACGGCAGCGCACUACCGUCGGGGGGCCCGCGGUCGCCGCCCUCCGGCAUAGCGGCACAGUGGUGCGGGCGUCGGCACCGCUUGGUCCUCUUCUCCCUUUCUCUCUCGUUCUCUCCGUCCCUCCUGAUGUGGCGGCGUGCCAGUGACUCCAAUGUUGCUCCCUCCCUCGGCUCCCCUUCCUCUCUUCCUCAAUCCCUCUCUCUCUUGAUACGGGAGUACAGCAAGAUGACCGAGCCUGGCUGCAGCUGGGGCGACGGCGCCCCCAACCUGCGUGGCAACGGCGCGAACGUGCCCCGACGCUAGCCUUCCUCUGGCAUGGCAGGAGCAGGCAGGCCCCAUAGGUGGCUGCAGGUGCAGGUGCCUACCCGGUUAAACCUACCCGCCUUCACCUGCGCCAAAUCUGCCAUGCCGUGCCCUAGGGCUGGUUUCCCUCACCUGCCCGCUCAUCAGGUUCUUGCCGGAUCUCCGUCCUCUGCUUCCACGUUUCCUUGCAUAUUUGUUGUUUCUUCAUUGGUUGCGUGGCUACCCUGCUGCCUCUGUCAAAUAAAUAGAGGUUCAUGGUCUGGCUCUGAAUCUUUGAUUUCAGAAAGAUCACGGCCAUUUGUAGCACAAGAUUGUAAUGAUGGUUGCUUCUAGAUCUUGAGGGGAUAUGUGAUGCGCUGCUACACUUCUAAGUUUAGUAGCAUAUUGACCAUAUCUAAGCAGUGUUUUCUUCACAUAGUACAUGUUUUGUUAUUAAAGUUCUUAGUCGUAAGAAUUUAAAACAAAAUGCAUACAAUGAACUUAGGAAAAAAAAUCUACCUCUUAAGGAUCAAAUUAUUUGUCAAUUUUUAAGACCAUGUACAUAUACAAAACCACUUGGCACCACCUUAUCUAAAUAUAAUGUGGGCCCUUUCUUCUACAUUAGUAUAUAUGUUUUCCAAUUAUUAUCUAUUAUUUUUCCAUGUGCUGUAUGCAGGUCUAAAACAUCUGGAAUUGAGAUUUCGGUCUUCUCUGUGAUAUUGUCAGCUUACAUGCCUUCUCAGCCACGGCUGCUACCCAUGCCAGUACACCAACGACCGAUCUUGCUGUGCUGCAUCGGUAAAUUCUUUCCCUUAUCCUCUAUCCCAAGCAUCAGUGCAGCUGCAGCGAUUGCUUUGUGCUUCAGGUUCGGUGCACAUAUGGCUGUUAUAUGCAUGUGAAACCUAUUAUUUUCUCUGCUGAAUCUUAUGGUCACAUCGUGCUUCCAUGUCACAGUUGUUCAGAUGAUGAAAACCUUUGCUAUUCUAAAGCCUGUGAUGAAAUGACGCCUUAUGUUACUUGGCCAUAUAGGUUGAUGAUCUUGAAAGGUCCACAACAUGUUCUGUCAGAUGCAAUUUGUUGCAAUUGUUGCCACUGCACCCCUCUCUUUCUCUCUAAAACCUCCCAUGCUUCCUUCUCUUCCCAUGCAUUUACAUGAUUUAUUCAUGCUUCACAUGAAUAGAUCAGCUAGGUUUGGCCACCGGCUAGCCUAUGCACCAUUUUAUGCCACUUUUACCUUACAGAUUUUUCCUUCCACUGUUGCUCCACGUGUUUAUCCUCCCGGUGGUCAACAGCAGGUCAGAAAAAAGAAUAUCUCAAUUGCUGAUUGUUUGUAAAGGAUGGUAUUUUGUGGUUACAUGUUGUGGCUACCUAUCCAUAAAAGAUCAAGUGAUGCCAUUUCUGUCAUUUCUGAGGCUCACUCUUUCCUUCCCCAUGCUCUGCUCUGUUUUUUCCUCUCUGAAUUUGCUUGAUCUUGGUACAGUCACCUAAAAUUCUCUAAUUUAUCUCCUUUGCCAUUAGCCAGUUUUUCUCUUCUUGAAUCUGUGAUGAAGAUAAAAGAAAUAGCAAUCAAUGGACGUCAUGUAUGAGCUUGCCCUUCAGAGGUAGACUAUUUGGAGCACAACAUUACCAUAUCUUGGCUUCAUAUUUACUGCAUGAUUUAUCCUAAAUGUCAUUUGAAAUGAAACUAAAAUAUCGAUCUUAUCAGCUAUGCAUAUGUGGGUUCCAGAUUGACUCCACUUAUACACUAAGAAUAGACAAACCCACUGAAUUUUUUACUACUAAUGAUCCAUCUACUCUGGUAGUUUUAAUUUUGCCUGUGUGACCAAUAUGCAGGUUUCAAAUUCAUGGAUCAUGUUUAUAUAUACAGUCACUCUUGAACAUAAACUAAACUUUCCUGUAACAAUACUCACCUUCAAAUAUAGCCCAAGAUAUGGUAUCUGAACUAAGCGGACUCUAAAUUUUAGUGCUUCUGAAUUAUUAUUUCAGUUCUGGUACCACGCAGGGAAAACCCAAGUUCUUGCCACUCAGUGAUGAAUUGCUUCAGGGUACAUAUGCUACAGAUAUUUCCAACUUCACACGCUUAUAGAAAUCGGUAAGGAACUUCACUUAUCUUUUUGACAUCCUGCUUCUUUUAUAGGCUGUAUUCUCAACAGUUUUGAGACUACAAAAUGUUGCUUCAGUGUUACAAUUCAACAGAUCCAUUUUUUUUGGAUAUUUCCAACUUCAUGCGCUUACAGAAAUCGGUAAGGAACUUCACUUAUCUUUUUGACAUGUUGCUUCUUUUAUAGACUGUAUUCUCAACAGUGAUAUUACUAUAUAGAUUUGAGACUACAAAAUGUUGCUUCAGUGUUACAAUCCAACAGAUCCCAAAAUUUUUUUGCCAUACUUGCAGUGAAUGUCCUAUUGGCAAUAGAAGAAGCUUGCAAUUUGUUUACGGAAGCAGACAAGUGUAACACAGCCCACCUCCCAAAUUUAGUUCCAACUGUAGCUAGAUAUGGAUCUGUCACUACACUAUUCUCCAUGUCAUUGAUGUUCAUUUGGAGACCCUUGCAAAAUCAUCACAUACCACGUUCUUAGUUUUCCAAUUGCUUGAUACAUUUGUAUUUUGCAAAAAUUUGUGAAAGGUACCGAUGUCCAAACUGAAUGUAUGGUAGAAUAGAUGGUUUUAUGCUACUCUUAAAAUUUUUUGCUUACCUAUGCUAUGCUCUCAUUGAACAUAGACGAAAGGAUAAACACUUAGGCUGCAUCAUUCCAUAGUCAGUUAUGCAAAGUGGUAGACACCAUGUUGGUUUACUAUUGACUAACCCACCGUUAUUGUGAACUGUGAAACCUAUUAAGUUGCCAACACUCUUCCUAUUUUCCAUGAGAAAAAAAUUGAAACUAUGUAUUUUAUUGUUCUCAAAUUUUCACUAGAUUAUUACAUCAAUAGAUCUAUUGGUCAUCGAACCCUAUAUAUGGAUAAAAAAAGAUAUCUCAUUCCUUGUAUUUUUUAUAGGUUUUGAUAUACUGAGAAACACACUACUUACAUUCAGCUGGGCAACCUAUGUGUUCCCUCCUUGAUACUCAAACAAGGAAUCAUUCAUGCAAUUAAGCACUACCAUGAUUUGAGAAGUAAGUUGUCCAUUUCUGUCUAUUACUUGCAUGCUCAAGAUAUACUUAAUAAAGUACCAUCCAACACAAAUAACAUAAUUCUAUUGCAACUUAUCACUGCAAUUUGUUCAGCCCAAAAAAAGUUUUAGUACAUGGUCUAACUAUUACUCACAUGUACUAAAACAGAGGGGCACAUAACAUAAACAACUCAAAUGCUCAGGCUAAACUUCAUAAGUCUAAUGAAACUGGCCUCUUGAAACAUGUUUUUGGUCAAUGAUAGUGUUGAGACAUGCUUUCAGAAUUCGAAGGUAAUUAACCCAGAUCAUUGCCUACCGUUUCUACCCCCAUGUAAGACUCCAUUUACGACCAAUCUUUUGUAAACAAUUGUUAUUGUAACCUGCAGAGAUCACUACUUACCAGGAAGAUUCAGAUGAUUUUUAUAACUUUGUUUAAGUAUUCUUGCUUCCACUAUGCACUGAUAUGUUAAUCUGUAUUUUUUAUCGCCAAUUCCAUUAUCCUUCAGUUAUCAAGGAUGGCAUAGAAACUACAAAAUACUCAAUCGUGUAAAAAACGGAUGUAAUAUAUACCUAUGUACCCCCAUAUAUAACUAAAUAAAAAUAUACAUUUUUAACA